GAUGAACGCUAGCUACAGGCUUAACACAUGCAAGUCGAGGGGUCUUUUGGAGCUUGCUUUAAAAGACGACCGGCGCACGGGUGAGUAACGCGUAUCCAACCUGCCCUUCAUAUUGGGAUAGCCUUCCGAAAGGAAGAUUAAUACCGAAUAACAUGAUAGAGUUGCCUGAUUUUAUCAUGAAAGCUCCGGCGAUGAAGGAUGGGGAUGCGUUCCAUUAGGUAGUAGGCGGGGUAACGGCCCACCUAGCCGACGAUGGAUAGGGGUUCUGAGAGGAAGGUCCCCCACACUGGAACUGAGACACGGUCCAGACUCCUACGGGAGGCAGCAGUGAGGAAUAUUGGUCAAUGGGCGCAAGCCUGAACCAGCCAAGUAGCGUGAAGGAUGACUGCCCUAUGGGUUGUAAACUUCUUUUAUACGGGAACAAACCCUGGUACGUGUACCAGAUUGCGUGUACCGUAUGAAUAAGCAUCGGCUAACUCCGUGCCAGCAGCCGCAGUAAUAC
rnacentral:rRNA from 1 species